rnacentral:rRNA from 1 species
UACGUAGGGGGCAAGCGUUGUCCGGAUUUAUUGGGCGUAAAGAGCGUGUAGGCGGCCAUGCAGGUCCGUUGUGAAAACUCGAGGCUCAACCUCGAGACGCCGAUGGAAACCGCAUGGCUAGAGUCCGGAAGAGGAGAGUGGAAUUCCUGGUGUAGCGGUGAAAUGCGCAGAUAUCAGGAAGAACACCCGUGGCUAAGGCGGCUCUCUAGUACGGUACUGACGCUGAGACGCGAAAGCGUGGGAGCGAACAGG